AAGUCGUAACAAGGUCUCCGUAGGUGAACCUGCGGAGGGAUCAUUACCGAGUGAGGGCCUCCGGGUCCGACCUCCAACCCUUUGUGAACACAUCCCGUUGCUUCGGGGGCGACCCUGCCGGGCGCCCCCGGAGGACCAUCAAAACACUGCAUCUUUGCGUCGGAGUUUACGAGUAAAUCGAAACAAAACUUUCAACAACGGAUCUCUUGGUUCUG
rnacentral:misc_RNA from 1 species